rnacentral:rRNA from 1 species
GACGAACGCUGGCGGCGUGCUUAACACAUGCAAGUCGUACGGUAAGGCCCUUUCGGGGGUACACGAGUGGCGAACGGGUGAGUAACACGUGAGUAACCUGCCCACAACUUUGGGAUAACGCUAGGAAACUGGUGCUAAUACUGGAUAUGUGCUACUGCUGCAUGGUGGGGGUUGGAAAGCUCCGGCGGUUGUGGAUGGACUCGCGGCCUAUCAGCUUGUUGGUGGGGUAGUGGCCUACCAAGGCGGCGACGGGUAGCCGGCCUGAGAGGGUGACCGGCCACAUUGGGACUGAGAUACGGCCCCGACUCCUACGGGGGGCAGCAGUGGGGAAUAUUGCACAAUGGGCGCAAGCCUGAUGCAGCAACGCCGCGUGCGGGAUGACGGCCUUCGGGUUGUAAACCGCUUUCAGCAGGGACGAAGCUUUUUGUGACGGUACCUGCAGAAGAAGCACCGGCUAACUACGUG